rnacentral:lncRNA from 1 species
CAGAGCACAAGGGCGGAAGCCACCAAGAUGAGCUGGCUGUCAGCUGGGACAGCAGGGACCAGGUGGCGAUCUCCUCCUCUCUGCAGCUGAGGAAGGGUGAGCUGGCUGCCCGCCUGGCCCUGGCCCACCCCUUCACCCUGCCCUGGUGGCACGCUGAGGCCAGGGUCCUCGCCAGGAGCAGGGAUGGCAGGCAAAGCCAGCCAGUGAGCGGAGCUUUGCGUGGCUGGGAGGAAAGGUGCAGCUGGCCUGGGACAGAGCACAGCCCCUGACCCUGCAGCUCACCUGGGCCCACAGGUGCUCGGCACACAGCUCGGCCUGGGUCAGCUGC